CUGCCCUACGGGGGCAGCAGUGAGGAAUAUUGGUCAAUGGGCGCGAGCCUGAACCAGCCAAGUCGCGUGAGGGAAGACGGUCCUAUGGAUUGUAAACCUCUUUUGUCGGGGAGCAAAAGACGCCACGCGUGGCGUUCCGAGAGUACCCGAAGAAAAAGCAUCGGCCAACUCCGUGCCAGCAGCCGCGGUAAUACGGAGGAUGCGAGCGUUAUCCGGAUUUAUUGGGUUUAAAGGGUGCGUAGGCGGAAGAUCAAGUCAGCGGUAAAAUUGAGAGGCUCAACCUCUUCGAGCCGUUGAAACUGGUU
rnacentral:rRNA from 1 species